GGGGCUGUAGCUCAGCUGGGAGAGCAUCUGCUUUGCAAGUAGGGGGUCAGGGGUUCGAGUCCCCUCAGCUCCACCA
rnacentral:tRNA from 1 species